UUGUAUGUGUCAUAGAAUGUAGAUUGAUAUUCUCGCCCUAAAAAAGCGUUGAUAAACUUAUACAACUUUCAACAACGGAUCUCUUGGCUCUCGCAUCGAUGAAGAACGCAGCGAAAUGCGAUAAGUAAUGUGAAUUGCAGAUUUUCAGUGAAUCAUCGAAUCUUUGAACGCAUCUUGCGCUCCUUGGUAUUCCGAGGAGCAUGCCUGUUUGAGUGUCAUUAAAUUCUCAACUCUGAUUGAUUUGUUUCAAUCCCGGAGCUUGGACGUGGAGUGUGCCGGCGCGAGUCGGCUCCUCUCAAAUGCAUCAGUGGAAAUUCAACCUUUGGUUUCUGGACGUCAGUGUGAUAAUCACGUUGCGCU
rnacentral:rRNA from 1 species